CCCGGGCCUUGUACACACCGCCCGUCACACCAUGGGAGUCAGUUGCUCCAGAAACGGAUUGCCUAACCGCAAGGGGGGCGUUCUUUAAGGAGUGACUGGUAACUGGGGUG
rnacentral:rRNA from 1 species